UUUAAAUUUAAAUUCUAUUAAUAUUCCAUCAGUCAACUGCAUUCUCUAGGGGUGUCAUGAUCCAUAUGCUGGUUUAUAUCACUUAUGUAUGCAUUAGAGAUGAAACUCAAAACCUUUGCUAUGCUGUGUUGUCCUUAGCUGCUCAGUCAUGUCUGACUCUGCGAUCCCAUGGACUGCAGCCCACCAGGCUCCUCUGUUCAUGGGGAUUCUCCAGGAGGAGUGACGCUCCUGUCUUCAUUCAGAUCCAUGGACAGUUGACAAUCUUUGUCAUUUCCUGAAGUCACACUGCCAUUUCCAAAGGCAGCUGGUGCUUUGCUCAGCCUUCCAUGCUGUGCAGUGCUUCCGUCAGGAGAUGGCCCUGCUUAAGCCAGCAGGUGGCUGUGGUCCAGGGAACAAGCAAAAGCACAGCAUAUGAAUUUUCUGAUUGUUUUUUCUAAAAUUUUCUGGUGAGCACUUAAAAAUAUAUACUAUGCAUAUUUUAGUAAUUAUAUAAUUAGUUUGUUCUAGGAAUGCUUUUCAGUGUUUUUCAAUGAUGGAGCAAAUUCCUGAAUUAUUUAUCAUGUCUAAGCAAUAUUAUGUACUAGUCACAUGGCACAUGGAAUUCCUCAGUCCUUGAAUUAAUUCCAGUGAAGCAAAACUUGUAGAGUCAGAAUUGUCUCUAAUGAAUCCCUACUUUGAGAAGUGUCAUCUUAAAAAACCCUACAAGACAUUUUGGGAGUCACCUAACGCAAGUGUUUUAUAUUACUCAGGUACCAUCAUGAAUAAUUCUGUGAGGUUAUGAUGUAGCUGAAAAUUCUGGAAGCUAAUGACUAUCUGAGUGUGCCCUAAAUAAGUGUUCUCCAGUGCCCCAGUGGGCAGCAUAUCCAUCUCCUUGUUGAGAUGCCAGAUCAAGGUGGGUGAAUGAUGCUUUAACCACCUGCUACAGCUCAUCCCUAGCCUGUGCUGGUGUCAGAGGCAACCAGGAAGCCUGCACAAGGCCAGGGUGUUUCUUCUGCCCACACGACCUUCUCACACCCCUCUUCAGCCACUGUGAUCCCCAAAAACCCAGGGCUGUGUAUCCGAAACCAUAAUAUAGGACAGUUUCUGUCAGGGCAACAUAAGAGGAGAUUAGAGCUUGAAUUUAAAAGCCACAAAGCAAUAACAAUAAAAAAGCUAAGCUUUUAUGGAGACAGUCAGGACCGCAAGCACAAGUGCAGGUGGAAAAUGAUGACUUUGGGUCUGAUUCCAUGGCACCAUGCAAGAGAAUCAAUGAUGAAUCACGUGGUAGUCUGCACUGAGCUGCUGGCACCUGAACGCCAGCCAUUUGUCUUCCACCAGCCUGAGCCGUGGCAUGUUCUCAGUCAGUGACAUUCCCGGCUCCUUCUAACUUCUUGAAAUUUCAACAUCAAAUGAUCUUCCUCAAAUCAGAUGAACAUGUAAUAUUAGAAACGAUUCUCCCUGUGUAGUAGGGGUGGAUUCCCCAGCACAGGAGCAUGAAAAUGCUCACGUGUGUGUUGGGACUGUUCCCACACCUUUGCAAUCAUUAUCAUCUUAAUUCUUACUCCAACCUUAGGGGGCAGGUGUUUGUAGUUGAUGGAACUGCACCUCGGGAGACUGAUGAACAUUACCCACAGCACGGAGCAGGUGAAUAGGGGGCCGGAAGCAACAGUUAGACCCCCCACAGCACAGAGCAGGUGAAUAGGGGGCCGGAAGCAACAGUUAGACCCCCCCACAGCACAGAGCAGGUGAAUAGGGGGCCGGAAGCAACAGUUAGACCCCCGAAGACAGGUAGACCACUCUUACCUGUGUUCUUACUAAAGUGCUUUCAAUGUCUUUGGGGCACUAUUUGUUCCCCUAGAGCUUAUUUGUUCCCUUGAGAACAGGUGGUCAUCUUGGAACUCCUGCUUAAGAAUCAGAGAACUGAGCCUAGGGAAACCCUGGCUCCUCACACCCUGAGUUGAGCCUCACUGCACUGUGACCAUGAAGUCUAGGCUCAGACAGGCUUCAAGGACCUGCCACCCACCACUGUCCUAAUCCACCAUUCAUUCCCCAUCCCCUGUAAAGUCAUGCCAGGAACAACCACCUACUCCCCGACAACAGGCAGAUUUUCUUGAAAACGUCCAUCUAAUCGGUGUUUUUCAGAAAACAUUAGAGAAAGCAGCUUUACGCUCACUGUUUAAUGGCUUACAUUAAGAAGUAACUUGAUGCUCUAAUUUUGAAUACCCUUAUCUUAUCUAAUCUUUGAAUUUUGUCAUGUAAUUUAUUACUUCAUGAAAUUUACUUUUUAUGUGUUAAACUAAAAAUGUUACCCAAGUCAUUGGUGCACCUUUAACAAUUUUUUUUUCUUUUUUCUUUUUUUUAUCUUCUGGAGUAUGGAGGAUAGAAAAAUGUAACAGCUUUACUCGUCUCAUCUUUCUGUUAUAGGAUGAGUCAUGUACUUACAUUGCACAAAAUGUUUGUAAUAAAGCAAUGCUUUAAAAGUGUGUAUGUGCUUACUUUCAGAUAUUAACCAGUCAUAAAAUGAUAGAAUUUUAUAUUCCAG
ensembl:lncRNA